rnacentral:lncRNA from 1 species
GAACUUGGAGAAUCGUUUCAACCAUCCUCAUCCAAGAAAUCCAUGGAGCUAAGAAGCAAGAAUGAAGGUCCUCUCCUUGGGUGAUUAGCCUUUGCUUAUGCAAAGAGGAAUCAACAAAGGUAUAAAGUUUCUCAACUCACUUUGUUUUGAGUUGAGUCUUGGUUCACCCUUCUACUAGGCUUUGAAUUUUAUGGGUAAUGUUUUGUUUUUGAGUGCAUACAAGCAUGAUUCCGCCUUUAAUUGUUAAUUGCAUGCCAUAGAUGUUGCUCAAAUGAACAUGUUUUUCGCAAAAUUUCCUUCAAGUGGUAUCAAGAGCCUAGGUCUAGUAGUUGGUGAAUCCUUUUGGGUUUUGUAUUUUCAUAGUUUAUGAUUUGAAUGUUGUAAUUGUUACAAGCUUUAUUCUUGCUUCUUUGAAUGUAAAUUUUGUUAGAAAAUUUGCCAUCUCAAAUGUUGUAGAUGUAGUUCAUAUGAGCAUGAAUUUUGGAGCUAAAAUUUGGUGCCAUGUUUUUUGGGAAAUUCGGCCAAAUCCAAAGGGUGGAUUUUUGGGUUUAUGUUUGUCUUGUUAAAAGUGUUUUAGAGUGACAUUAGGAACCCCUAAGUACCCUAGUAUGGUAAUAUGUUUUUCCCUUAAGUUUGAGAGUUUUUUGGGGUGUCUUUGGGUGAAAAAUGUUCAUGGAGCUCUUAUGGGUUUUCAUGGAUGUUCUUCAUUGUUCUUGUUAUGUUUUUGGCAAGAACAAAAAGGUUGGGUAUUUUGAUUCAAAGUUUUGGUUGAUUACAUAAAAUUUUUGUUAGUGGUGGAUGGUUUGAAUUUUCAAUUCUUUUCUAUCAUUCACACCAUACCAAUCACUUACACCUUUUCCUUGUUUCAAGGAUCCAUGUUUUAUGGAAAUCACUUUUUCAAACCAACCCAUCACCUUUUCAACCCAUCACCUUUCACUUUAUUGAAAAAUUUCAAAAGUUUUAUGACAAAACUCUCACCAUGACCGGCCACCCUACAUCUAGGGUACUUUUGGGGCUUUUAUGCAAUUACAUAAAGUUUUGAUACUUUUGUGUAUUUGUACUUUGACCCGAAAGUUUACGUUUUUACGUAAAGGCCUAAAAUCACUAAAGGACAAAUUGUUUUGCUCCUUUAAUGAAGUUUUUGUAUUUGAUGAAAUUUUUGGGUUCUAGUUGUAAUUACAUGAAGUAGUGGACUUUUGUGUUCUUACAAAGUGACCUCAAAAGUUUGUGUUUUGCAACAUAGCCCAAAAAGUUGAGGUUAUUGCAUUUGGCCCAAAUUAGUUAAGAACAAAAUAGUUUUGUAUCUUUAAAUGAGAAUUGGAUUUUCAUUUCAUUUAGCUCCAUUUAAAUCAAUUCUAUGGAAACCAAAACCAAAUGAAAUGUUGCAUUCAAGUUUAAUUAGUUAAAGCGUUAAUUAAUUAAAGAAAGGGUGAUUAUGAACCUAAGCCUACGAUAAUUGAGCUAUGUGAAAGGCCGUCUCAAAUUUGUUUGAACCAUGGCAAUGAGUAGAUUAAAUUUUGGUUGUAAUUUGAUAUGAUCAAAUGUUGUAAAAGAGCAUAAGCUCUUCUUUACUUUAAAGUAAUUUGUUUUAAUCAAAUGUUGUAAAAGAACAUAAGCUCUUCUUUACUUUGAAGUACUGCUUUCUUGUUUUAUUUGAUAUGCAUGAAAUUGGAGUAGUUGGGUCCAACGCCCAAUAGGAAAAACACGCCUUAAUAUGAUUAAAUGGGUAACUAAAAUCAAUCACCAUCCCUAGACCGAGAUCCAACACUAGGCUCGUGUUGGAUCUAAUUAAAGGUUCAUAGUCAUCCUAAGGCCCUAAGGCAACUAUAUAGUCCAUCAAUGAAUGCAAACCUUAUGUUAGUAGUACCAUAUACUCUUGCUUUAAAACCGUUUUACAAGCUUAGUGGGAGUAUUAUAUACUACUAAAUCAAUCACAUGGACCAAUAGUUGUAAUAUGACCAAAUUGUUUUAAUUAGAUUAAAAUGCAUGCUUAUAUGUGAUGAGACCUAAAACCCUCAACCAAACCAUUAUUAAGUUGAUAAGCAUGAGAGUGCUUUGAACACUCUUUCAUGGCCUUCCACCGUGGUAGGCUCCGAUCGUUUGUGACUCGUACACCGACUUCACCUUAUCAUGGGGGAGUACAAAGUGCAUGCUUACACUCAGGAGGAGUUCUAUAUGCAUACAUGAUGUUAUGAAGGUAGGCAACGAGAAUGAUCAACAUCAUAUCAUUGUGAGGUUGUUCUUGAACCCCUACUCGAACUUGC